rnacentral:ncRNA from 3 species
UACGGAGGGGGCUAGCGUUGUUCGGAAUUACUGGGCGUAAAGCGUACGUAGGCGGCUUUGUAAGUUAGAGGUGAAAGCCCAGAGCUCAACUCUGGAAUUGCCUUUAAGACUGCAUCGCUUGAAUCGUGGAGAGGUUAGUGGAAUUCCGAGUGUAGAGGUGAAAUUCGUAGAUAUUCGGAAGAACACCAGUGGCGAAGGCGACUAACUGGACACGUAUUGACGCUGAGGUACGAAAGCGUGGGGAGCAAACAGG